GACAGAGCCUCGAGCGUUAGGCGGAAUCACUGGGCUUAAAGCGUGUGUAGGCGGAUCGUUAAGUGCCUUGUGAAAUCCCACGGCUUAACUGUGGAACGGCUGGGCAUACUGGCGGUCUUGAGCCAUCUAGGGGUUGCUGGAACAAACGGUGGAGCGGUGAAAUGCGUAGAUAUCGUUUGGAACGCCAAUGGUGAAAACAGGCAACUGGGGAUGUGGCUGACGGCUGAGACACGAAAGCCAGGGGAGCAAACGGG
rnacentral:rRNA from 1 species